GAGUUUGAUUAUGGCUCAGAACGAACGCUGGCGGCAGGCUUAACACAUGCAAGUCGAACGGUACAGCAAUGUACAGUGGCGCACGGGUGAGUAACGCGUGGGAAUAUGCCCUUUAGUACGGAAUAGCCUCGGGAAACUGGGAUUAAUACCGUAUACGCCCUUCGGGGGAAAGAUUUAUCGCUAAAGGAUUAGCCCGCGUGAGAUUAGGUAGUUGGUGGGGUAAUGGCCUACCAAGCCUACGAUCU
rnacentral:rRNA from 1 species